GUAAAUUCGUGAAGCUUUCCAUGUUUUUUAUUAGAACGAUACAGAGAAGAUUAGCAUUGCACCUGUGCAAGGAUGACACGCAGAAAGGUUAUAAUGUUUAUUUUC